AUGAGUGGCCACACCUCCUUGUUAAAGCCUCAUCUCAUUAGAUCCCAGAAGCUAAGCAGGGCCAGGUCUGGUUAGUACUUAGAUGGGAGACCACUGGGAAGACCAGGAAAAAACUGUCAUU
rnacentral:rRNA from 1 species